CUCCAAAAGUUGGGUUGUGCAACUCAGCUAACGAUCGGAUCUUGGUUCACAGAGGUCCCAUACAUGUUGCAGUUCAAUGGAUUGCUGGUUCAAGAGUUGAUAUGCAAAUAUCUAACACUAGAAUUGUGUAUAGAAAACUUUGAUUUGAAUGGAGUAGCUGGACUUUUGGGAGCCUUGCCUCAUGUGGAGACUUUAAACAUAUACCUGACAGAAAAUCUUCUUGAUAAUUACUUUUGCGACUUUGAGGAAAACAAUACCGAUCUGCAGAGUUGGAUUUCAAGCAUUGUGUUUCCCAAACUCAAGAAUAUUGCGAUUGUCAACUACAUCCUGGUGUGUUUAAACAGGCAAUAAAGAAAAUGGGGCUUUCGCAGACUUGUUAAACUUUCACAACUUCUGUUAAAGAAUGCAACGAUUUUGAAGAAGUUUCUUAUCAUAUCAAAUAGUAGAAUGUGCAAGAAAUGUUUAACAAACUGUUGGUUCAAUUUUUUC